GGGCGGUGGGGUCAGAAGCGCGGUCUCGCGGGGGUGCGUUAGUGCGCCUCCCCUCCCCGGCCUCAUCGAAGUAAAUGAUUUUCCAAAGGUCAGUCUCCCUGUGCGCGUUUGGGCUCUGAUUUUUGUUUUGGGGUGGUUUUUUUUUAAUAUUUAUUUCUGUGCUUUUCCAGUUGGGGAAGGGAGAGGCGCCUGGGCAGAGCUGAACUGGGGUAGGGAGGUUCGUGGUAAAGCGGGGCUCGCAGGGACGGCGAGGGCUCUUCGCAAGCAGGGUUUCCUGGUCCUGGAACGCCCAUCCUUCUCGCUACCUUCCAACGAGGUUCUGGAUGUGCUCCUCAGUGUCUCCCGGAGCUGUCAUCAGAAAUUCUGUGAGUGCUGAGUGCUGCAGCUGAGCCCCAUCCAACAGAGAGGUGGCCGUGAAACUAUCCCAGUGCAUCCUCAGCCACCUCACUCACUGGAUCUGGCACCAUGUGGCUUCCGGCUCUCCCCCAAAGUCAAAGUGACCCUGAAAAGUGAACAUCUUGACUGAAUUCAGGACAUCUACACAGCCACAACCCCCCUACUAAGACACUCAGGAAAGGACCCCAGAACCGCUUCAGAAAGUGGCAAGAAUGAGGGGGACAGAAGCAAAUUGCAAACAGAGCAACUUCCAGCCAGCCCCUACCCCAGGCUCCCACUGAGACUUCCUCACUGGUGACCGUGCAGUGAGGAACCAGAGUACAGGACAGGAGACGUGGAAAAGGCAGGAGACACGCCUGAGACAGAGAUGGGGUCCGGAUCUUAGGGGCCGCUCGGGCAGAGCGCGACGCUGGUCUGGGGGUCCUGCUCCAUGCCCCUCCCCAGGGCCCAGACUCAAAGUCCUUCCCUCCUCCCCUCGCCCACUGCCACCCCAGGGGACAUGAAGUAGACCAAGAAGUAGGUGCCGCAGCCACUCAAGUAGCUUCCCCACGAUGACUCUGAGGGAGGAUCUCCCUUACUCCAAGCCACUUUCCACGUUUACUGAAUCACUUGUUUUUCAGUCUAUAACUUAAAUAUUGAACCAAAGUCUUAUGAAUCAUUGCAUUUUUUGUGUUCAAAUCACCUGCACGUGGCCAGAUCUCUCUGCUCUUAACAAAAAGCCCCUGCUUCGACCAACCCCCAGGUGGAGAAGGAGGAAAUGAUUAUUUGCUUUUGCCUAGAAAUAUGAGUCUGUUUGGGUCUCUCGGGUUUCCAUAAAAAUGACAAAUCCAAACAAAAAAAAAAUGAGUUUGCCCUAACAAACAAGGUAUUCUGUGUAUAAAUAUUUAGGGGCAAGAUGUGAAUGCUAUGCUGGAAUUUCAAAAAUGGAUAAAAUACUGUUGGCAAAUCCUCAAUUGCUAUGAAAUCAAGCAUGAUACAGCUUGCUGAACAGAGAAAGAACAGUCUUCCUCCGAUGCCUUGUUACUCAAGAGUGCUGCCCUGCUUCCGGAUUUGCUUUUACCUACUUAAAAUAAACCCUGACUAAACCUGGGCAGGGUGGUACACACCUGUAAUCCCAGCACUGGGGAGGCUGAGACAGGAGGCUCUCAAAUUCAAACCCAGCCUGGGCAAUUUCAUGACUUAGCAAGACCCUGCCUCAAAAUAAAAAUAAAAAAUUCAAAAGAGCUGCAGGUGGGUUCAGUCCUCAGUCCUGAGAAAGAAAGACAGAAAGAGAAAGCUGGCUCAGUAGUGCUUUCUCCAUGCUCACAUUAAUAACAGUAAAUUCCCCGCUCUCUAGAGUCUUCUCUUUUUAACGAAUGGUGUCCGCAGCAUCGUUCAGGAGCUGUCAGGCUGCAGAGCAUAACAAAUGGGAUUGUGAUUAGAAAAUAAACUGGCCUUGGAUGAGGGACGCUGGAGGAGAGCCCGGAAGUGAAGCCAAGGGCAGUUCCUCAGGCCCUGGGCACUGCUGUCCCGCCUGAGACCUCUUUCUGCUCUCUACCUCCCCAGAUCCCACUGCAGAAACCACAGCUUCCCGCUGAGCAACUGGCGCAAGCCCAGGGCCCCCUCCAGCUUUCCAAAGGCUUCCAGAAAACAGCUCUUUGCUUCAUUGGAAUCCUGGAAACAAACUGUUCUACCAAGGGUUAAAUCUGUAAUAGUUGCUGGAUACUGUGGCACAUGCCUGGCAUCCCAGCACUCUGGGAGGCUGAGGCAGGAGGAUCGCAAAUGUAAACCUGGUCUGGGGAACUCAGGGACUUAGCAAGACCCUGUCUGAAAAUCAAAAAGGCUGAGGGUGAAACUCAGUAGGAAGAACAUGGGUUCAAUCCCCAGUGCCACAAAACAAUUUGUAGUGGUUAAGCUAUUACUGCAAUAACACUAGGACUUUCAAUUUGAGGUAUUUGUAAAAUGUUUUUUGGUUUAUUGAUACAGGUCUCACAGUUCAGGCUGGCCUUCAACUCUCUAUGUAGCCCAGGCUAGCUUUGAACUCACAGUAAUCCUCCUGCCUCAGCCUCCUGACUGCUAGAAUCACAGGUGUGUGCCACCAUGCCCAGCUAUGGAAUUUUCUUUAUAAUAAAGACAAAUACUUUCAUAAGUUUGGCAUUUUAUCGUAUUUCUUGCAAAUGAAGUGUUUGUUUCAAAGUGAAACCAAUCUGUUCCUCAGAGUAGAAGUGAAUGCUGAUUUUGUUAAGGUCCUGUACUCUUCUUCUUACUCUUUCCUCCCCCAAACAUUUGCUUCUUUUAACUAAAAUGACCAUAACUUUUGCAAUCAGGAAAUACUUUUUAAUUUGGGCAAUGUAUAAAGGAUGAUGAUGGG
rnacentral:lncRNA from 1 species